rnacentral:misc_RNA from 1 species
GCCAUGAACAAGAACAAGAAGAUGGUCGGGUUCAUUAUUCCCAUUCACAAUUCUCUUGGGUGAUGAAAAUUUUUCUUGAGUUGUAGUAUUCAUAGCUUCAGCUCUAAGGCCUUGGUUUUUCCAAUAACUAUUUACACCUUCAACAGAUCUUAUAAUCCCAAACGCACUAUUGAGAUUUAUGCACGCAUAUUUCAUGUACGUAAAUUUCAAAAAAAUAAAAUAAAAAGGAGAGCAUAUUAACCUGCCAAAAACUAUAAACCACCAUACAACAAAAGCAUACAUAAAGAGAUAAGAUGAUGCAGGCUCAUGAAAUAAAUCCUUCUUAUGCAAGAAAGAGAAGUUUACAAAACUACAGAACCAUAACAGAUAUACUUUAUAGCAGAUUAAGAUGUGGAUGCAUAGAAAGUCCUAGCUAACUAAUUUGAAUAUCAAGAUGGUAUGCUUGCAUGUCACGAAAACUGAGUCUGCCUGCUGCUUAGAUGAUGCCUAUGUGAUCCUUCAAUUUUCUUGACCUUCUAGGUUUUAGAGAGAUCAAUUAACCAGAAUUUAUAUGUUUUCUUUUCUUUUUUAAAACUUUUGAUAUGUGUCAUAGGUUUCAGAUAUUGCAGCACAGAUGAGUCAGAAAGAAUAUGAAUGUACAAAACUACUAAAUGUAUUAUGGGUUUAACUUGGUACCAUCUAAAGUCUUUUCACCACUUCAGCUUUUCUUAAGCCUAUAGUUAAUCUCAUGUUGAUCCAUUUCAAGGACAGGAUCAGUUUGGUUCUUAGUACAGGUAAAAAUUUACAAAUCCAUCAGGGACUCCCUUGACAAAUAAAAUUGUAAAACUUCUACAUAAAGAUUUUCCUGAAAAGGUCUAAUAUAAUAACACCUUCUUUUGAUUAUGUAUUUAAGAUCACUAGCAUUUAGUUCAUAGAACUUUCAAAAGACCUAUGUGUUGGGUUUCAGUCAGGUCGAAAUCUGAUGAAAUUUCCAAUGAUCUAACUCAAUUAGUCACUGGGCAUGUAUGGCAGUGCAUGAUCCCAGAGUUUGAAAAUUAAAUAUCUAAAUAUUGGAUUGCCUCAUGUCAAGUGUCCCUGCUACGGAUGUAUUUCAGAAUUAGAUAUGGAGAUUUUAGCUCUUAUUUUAUAAACUUUUGCAGCUAAAACUAAUUCAGUUCAAAUAGUAGGAGCCUGAACAAUGACAUUAGAAUCUACAAGGAGGUUGCAACAAGAGACGGGGGAAAGAGGAAACACACACAAUAGAAAAUAAAUUGAAAGCCUUUCCAGUUCCCUUAGCACAUAAAUUUCCACAGUUUAAAACUGUAAGCUGCUUGGAAAUUAGCAAUCAAAACAAACCACAUUUAUCUUCUUACUUCGAUUGAAUCUCCCAUAAUCAAAAAAUGACCUUCGUUAAUGAAAUUAGCAUUCUCAAAAAUAUCCCAAAAGCGCUAUAAAAUUAGAAGUACAUGUAGAUGUAAUCUCAGAGCUACACAUAAGAAUUUUAAAAAAGAAAAUUGAAACUUUAGAAAGAAAACCGCUCCUAUUCACAAAAUUCUCUCUAAAAGAUAAACAAAUAAGCAAGCAACAAACAAUUUUUUAAAGCUCUCAUCAAUGAGCAACCAACAUACAAUGCCAAAAACAAAUGUUAAAUCCCAAAAAGAAGGAAAGAAAUAAAUUACCAGAAGAGAAGUUAGUUCCCUGAGAUGAACAACACGAACAGGAAGAAGAGGAUGGUGAAUAUGAGGUGGAACCGACAGGUCCUCCAUAAG